AGGUUAUUCCUAGAUCAUGGAAAGUACAUGCUGAAGUAAUCCUAAAAUGUCCUUCCAAAUCCAAAAUGUGGGUUUCAGUGAAAGGGGAGAGAGGUGCAGAAACAGUGAAAAGAAAAUAGCAGGAGACCUUCUACAUGUAGCAUGUGGAGCAGAGUCAAGGGCUCUUCUGUUGGCAUCGCCACUACUGGUUUUCCAGACAGCUUUUAGUUUUGUCACUUGUAAGCUUGCUGUGAGCUGACAUCGUGGUUAAUGAGAUGCAAGGGUUGGAGUGAGGAAACAUGACUGAGAGGUGUUUGAAGAGCUAAUUUGAAGGGGAAUGGGAAUACUGUCACAGUCAGCUGUGGGCAAGAGCCUUCCACCGGAGCAGUGCAGGCAGUGGGACACCAAAGGCUGGUGGUAUCACAAUAAGGGGGUGGAGGUACCACAAAGGAGGAAAAUGGAAGAGCAGGUCUUGGAAACAAAGUUUUGGAAACAAGUAUGGAAACUUGGAAACAAGUUAUUACAGAGAGAAUCCUGAUUUUUACGCUUGGUGAAGCCAAUUUCAUAAAAGUGUUUCUGUACGCAAAGGCUCAUCUGUAUUGUGUUUGCAUAGACGUGUAAGGAAUAGCAGCCAGAAUUGCCAAAUGCAGGUGGGGAUAGAUGAGAAAGGCUAAAGGAGUAUAUUAAUUCUGUGCAGUCAGUUGCAUUGGAGGUGCAAAUGAGGACAAGAAUGAAGCACGCAUGCUCAUGUCAAAAGGCUCAAAUGCCUUCACGCGCAGCCAUUGCAUUGUUUCCUUAGAAGUUAAGUUCAGGUGUCCCAUUUUAGAAAGGAAGGGAGCGUGUGGGUAUCAGAAUUUUAGCGUUCCAAGUGGGAGUGUGUGUGGGAUCUGAGCAAUCCCUCCAGUACCACUGCGUGAGUAAAUGCAGGAAAACUGCUUCUCAUUUGUUGUCCAGUGUUUCUAAGUAAGUUCACCAUCUGGUCACUGGAUCUUGUUAAAUGCCUUUGUAUGCAAGAUGAAGACACCCCCGCUUUCAGACAGCUUCUCUUAUUACAGAUACACAGCAAGCUGGCCAUCUUUCAGCCCUCCUCAUCUGUAAUUAGCUCAGGCUGUUGAAUUUAGGCUGUAACGAUGCAAUCAAGGAAAGGCAACUAGAUGUGAGGGAUCACAGAGGAGAAUUUGAAGUUGAGACACCUGAGUCUAGACAUGAGAAAAUUACAUCAGAUGCUAUUCAGUGCACAGGACGUAUCCAAGUCCAUUUCAUGAAGGGAAGAUUACAUUCUUAAUACAAGAAAUGUGGUUACAGUGUGGAAGAAGUGGAGAAAAUUAAAAGAAAAAAAAAAACAGAUAAGCUAAAAAAAGAAACUGGAAAAGGGAAAGUGAUAGUGAAGGAAUGGAGGAUAUUUUAUUAGCUUUCCCCUCCCUUUCUCUGUGAAGGUUUCCUGGUACAUAUGACUGCAGUGGAGCCUGCAGUUAGCUACCUGGCAGUUGAGUCCCACAGAAAAUAAAAUCUGCUUUUGAGUUU
rnacentral:lncRNA from 1 species